UAUCUCGAUCACAAUCGAUUAUAUAAAUUAUAUAAAUAUAUAUUUAUUGUUAAGUGUUUAGUGUUAUUUCGCAGUUGUGAUAGUUCUGUAUUUUUCGUUGUUAAAUUUAUCAUUUGUUUAAUAGCUUAAUAAAUAAUCGUUUACAAAUAAUUGUUCAAAUUUAUUCGUAUAGUAGCUAUGUUCAUAUCGUUGAUAAUUGCGAGCGAAAUAUUUCAAUACAAAUGUGCAAGUUUGAAUACGUUCUUUUACUGCAGAAAGUGGAAAGAAACGAUUAAGAAUCAGAAAGAAGAUACAUCAGAAAAGGAAUCACAAGUGGAUUCGAAGGAUUGUUAUUAGCAGCAGCCAUCGUCAAUCGCUGGAUCGCCGAACGUGGAUCGAUGAUUUUGGGCUGCAUGUACCCGCAGGCAUCCAGCUACAACAGCAAUCGACAUGAAGUCUCGUGCAACUAGCGUUACCUGCAAACAGUACCCAAGUCUUUCAACGAUGGUUGCAAAACUGGGUCUGUCCUCGGGUCGAGGAUGCCAGCAGCGGGUCAUUAU